rnacentral:lncRNA from 1 species
GUUGGCCGGGCUGGUCUCCAGCUCCUAGCCGCGAGUGAUCCGCCAGCCUCGGCCUCCCGAGGUGCCGGGAUUGCAGACGGAGUCUCCUUCACUCAGUGCUCAAUGGUGCCCAGGCUGGAGUGCAGUGGCGUGAUCUUGGCUCGCUACAACCUCCACCUCCCAGCCGCCUGCCUUGGCCCCCCAAAGUGCCGAGAUUGCAGCCUCUGCCCAGCCGCCACCCCGUCUGGGAAGUGAGGAGCGUCUCUGCCUGGCCCCCCAUCGUCUGGGAUAUGAGGAGCCUCUCUGCCUGGCUGCCCAGUCUGGAAAGUGAGGAGCGUCUCUGCCCGGCCGCCCCGUCUGAGAAGUGAGGAAACCCUCUGCCUGGCAACCGCCCCAUCUGAGAAGUGAGGAGCCCCUCCGUCCGGCAGCCACCCCGUCUGGGAAGUGAGGAGCGUCUCCGCCCGGCAGCCACCCCGACCGGGAGGGAGGUGGGGGGGGGGUCAGCCCCCCGCCCGGCCAGCCGCCCCGUCCGGGAGGUGAGGGGCUCCUCUGCCCGGCCGCCCCUACUGGGAAGUGAGGAGCCCCUCUGCCCGGCCAGUCGCCCCGUCCAGGAGGGAGGUGGGGGGGUCAGCCCCCCGCCCGGCCAGCCGCCCAGUCCGGGAGGUGAGGGGCGCCUCUGCCCGGCCGCCCCUACUGGGAAGUGAGGAGCCCCUCUGCCCGGCCAGCCGCCCCGUCCGGGAGGGAGGUGGUGGGGGUCAGCCCCCCGCCCGGCCAGCCGCCCCGUCCGGGAGGUGAGGGGCGCCUCUGCCCGGCCGCCCCUACUGGGAAGUGAGGAGCCCCUCUGCCCGGCCAGCCGCCCCGUCCGGGAGGGAGGUGGGGGGGUCAGCCCCCCGCCCGGCCGGCCGCCCCGUCCGGGAGGUGAGGGGCGCCUCUGCCCGGCCGCCCCUACUGGGAAGUGAGGACCCCUCUGCCCGGCCAGCCGCCCCGUCCGGGAGGGAGGUGGGGGGGUCAGCCCCCCGCCCGGCCAGCCGCCCAGUCCGGGAGGGAGGUGGGGGGAUCAGCCC